CAAUAGCGUAUAUUAAAGUUGUUGCGGUUAAAAAGCUCGUAGUUGGAUUUCUGUCGGUGAGCGAAAGUCCGCUCUCAGUGGUUGGUACUUUUCGCGCCACCGGCAUCUUCCUGGGAGUGUGUCUGCUCUUUGUUGAUGUGGGCGCAUAAUCCAGGACUUUUACUUUGAAGAAAUGAGAGUGUUUCAAGCAGGCCUUCGCCGUGAAUACGUUAGCAUGGAAUAAUAGCAUCGGACCUCGUUCCAAAGCUGUUGGUUUCUUGGACCGAGGUAAAGGUGAAUAGGGAUUGUUGGGGCAUGCGUAUUUAAUACUGUCAGAGGUGAAAUUCUUGGAUUUGUUGAAGACGGACUACUGCGAAAGCAUCUGCCAAAGAUGUUCUCAUUGAUCAAGAACGAAAGUUAGGGGAUCGAAGACGAUCAGAUACCA
rnacentral:rRNA from 1 species